CCUACGGGUGGCAGCAGUGAGGAAUAUUGGUCAAUGGACGGAAGUCUGAACCAGCCAUGCCGCGUGCAGGAUGACGGCUCUAUGAGUUGUAAACUGCUUUUGUACGAGAAUAAUAGUUCUUACGUGUAGGGAUUUGAAUGUAUCGUACGAAUAAGGAUCGGCUCACUCAGGGCCAGCGGCCGCGGUAAUAUGGAGGAUUCGCGCGUUAUACGGAUUUAUUGGGUUUAAAGGGUGCGUAGGCUGUGUGUUAAGUUAGAGGUCAAAUGUCGGGGCUUAACCCCGUGACUGCCUCUGAUACUGGUCGACUAGAGAGCGGAUGCAGCAGGCGGAAUGAGUAGUGUAGCGGUGAAAUGCUUAGAUAUUACUCAGAACACCGAUUGCGCAGGCAGCUUGCUAAUCCGCAUCUGACGCUGAUGCACGAAAGCGUGGGUAGCGAACAGGAUUAGAUACCCGGGUAGUC
rnacentral:rRNA from 1 species